GAUGAACGCUGGCGGCGUGCUUAACACAUGCAAGUCGAACGGAGUGGCGAACGGGUGAGUAACACGUGGGUGAUCUGCCCUGUACUUCGGGAUAAGCUUGGGGAACCGGGUCUAAUACCGGCAAGUAGGGGAUGAGCUCGCGGCCUAUCAGCUUGUUGGUGGGGUAAUGGCAUACCAAGGCGUCGACGGGUAGCCGGCCUGGGAGGGUGUACGGCCACAUUGGGACUGAGAUACGCACCAGACGCCGACGGGAGUCAGCGGUGGGGAAUAUUGCACAAUGGGCGCACGCGUGAUGCAGCGACGCCGGGUGGGGAAUGUAGGUCUUCGGGUGGUAAACUCCUUGCGGUAGGGACGCGGUACCUGGAGAAGAAGCACCGGCUAACUACGUGCCAGCAGCCGCGGUAAUAC
rnacentral:rRNA from 1 species